rnacentral:rRNA from 1 species
UUUUAUUUGAGAGUUUGAUCCUGGCUCAGGAUGAACGCUGGCGGCGUGCCUAACACAUGCAAGUUGAGCGAUUUACUUCGGUAAAGAGCGGCGGACGGGUGAGUAACGCGUGGGUAACCUACCCUGUACACACGGAUAACAUACCGAAAGGUAUGCUAAUACGGGAUAAUAUAUUUGAGAGGCAUCUCUUGAAUAUCAAAGGUGAGCCAGUACAGGAUGGACCCGCGUCUGAUUAGCUAGUUGGUAAGGUAACGGCUUACCAAGGCGACGAUCAGUAGCCGACCUGAGAGGGUGAUCGGCCACAUUGGAACUGAGACACGGUCCAAACUCCUACGGGAGGCAGCAGUGGGGAAUAUUGCACAAUGGGCGAAAGCCUGAUGCAGCAACGC